rnacentral:lncRNA from 1 species
UCCGCCCUUAACUCGGCGGCCAAGCCCCCAAUCCAAGUUUGCUGCAAGGAAUGGAGUUCAUAAAUAACUAGUAAUAUCCCCAUGUGAGUAUACAGUAGGAAUCCCCCCAAGUGAGAUGUCAUAAUUAUCCUUCCAUGUAGGAUAGCAUAUCAUAAUCACCGCAUCAGCAAAACACGAUUUCGGGCUAAGAGUUAUCUAACUCAAGCCUUCUUCAUGUGAUCGACUAGCUCUCUUAAGCCCAACUUUUAGUUCUUUAAAACCAUUUGUCAUGCAUUCAAAGCACAUAACACUUAUUCUGUUAAGGGCAUAUUAUCACCGGGUAUCAUCAUACCCCGACUUGCAAGCCAUUCAUAUCAAUCCAUAACAUAUUUGUAGCCCUUUUUCACUUAUCAUCAUGUUAAUGAGCACCCAAAGUUUUAAACAUCAAGGGAGAGAAAGAUUCAUGCUAUAUGUUUUCAUCUGAAUUUACACCAAAAUACUCUCCUCUCAAUAGUACAAUCAUAAGGUGGCCACAUCAUGUUUGCAUUACUUAAAACUGAUGAAAACUAUUAAUUUGACAAAAUAAACGUUUACCAUAUGAAAACACCCUUUCAACAUGUCAUAAACCAUAUCACUUUAUGAUCAUUAGUAAAUAAUUCACCCUCUAGAUUCUUUAAGAAAAUUCAUGUAUUUAAAUAAUCCACAACACUUAAAAUCAAAGAUAUCUUAAUAAGAGAGGGAGUUUAGUCAUAUAUGUAUAUAGAUAUAUAUAUAGAAAGAGAGAGAGAGUUAUAGUUCAAUUCCAUGGAAAGUGGUUCAAGACGACAUAUAUUUUCAUUAAAAACAAUUCAAUGACACAUACUUUUUUAAACAACAUCAAAACACUUCUUUGUAAAUGUGAUUUGGGAUCCUUACACUUGAUAAAAUAAUUAAACCUAUGCCCAUGGAGUUUAGGGUAGUCCCACAUACCUUAAGUACUUAGUUUGAAGAGUGAAACCUUAAUCUUGGCACUUUUCUAGAGAAUCUUGAACUUGGAAGGAUUUGAUUCUUGAUCUUUCGGGAAGAGGGAAGGGUUUAUUUGAGAGUAAUUUAGAAAGGAAUGGGGAUUUUCUUGCCCUAAAUACGUUAAUAAUCGAGGUUAUGCUAAUUAAAAUUAAUAGGAAAGGACAUAAUUGCCCCUCGAGCCUUUAAACUCAUAUCAAAAUCCCAUUUGGGGACCCAUCACGAUGUGCCAAGGGGCUCAUAGCCAUAGGCACCAUGAUGCAGUGUAAUUGCGGUGACCCACUAUUUUCGUGAUCCAAACACGACCUAAUCCUUGUUCGAAAAAUUCAAAACUCCCCUGAGACAUGACCUUUACACCGCUAAACAUAAAUUGACCCAAAAAUCAAUACUCGAGGUCAGGAAGACCAAAUUUAAAACCUUUGAAGUUAGGAGGAUCAACAUAGCCUAAGUCUCUCAACACUUAGAAAAUUUUGAGGCUUUAAAUUCCCUAUACAUACAAAUAGGAGUGUAAUCAAGUCAAGAAUGAUACGGGGUAUUACAUCAUCCCCCUUGGGAUCAUUCAUCCCCGAAUUAUGACUCGGGAUACAGCACGCACGAUUUCAAGCACUACAAUGAAAGAAAAGGGUAGUUGUAACACCCCAUAUUUUCCGUAGCUUAAUCUAAGUCCCAAUACAUGAGUAUUCAUAUAUGAAUUUUUUGAAACACUCAUUAUUUUUCAGUUUAUAACCUAUCAUUGCAUAGUAAAUUCAAUUAGCUUUCCAAUGAUAUAAAAUUCGCCUAAAUCUGAUAUUCAGGUAAGAAGUUAUGGUGAUUUUAAGUUUCAGUCGCAAAACCCCGUCAUUUUAACCUUUAGCGCAUCAUGUAGUAGGCCAAUCUCCCAUUUGGAAAAUUCCAAUGAGGUUACACGAUCCUGGCGCAUCGCGCCAUAGGUCAAUUUGACAUUUGUCAAUUUCCAGUAGGCCCCCGCGAUCCUGACACGUCGCGAAGAUGGACAAAUUGGCACCCACAUGCUUACCGCGAUGGUGGCGCGUCGCGGCGUUUGUCCAGGUCCCAGUUAUCCCUUUUACAUUGGCUUGGCGUGAUAGUGGCGCAUCGCACUAAGGCCAAAAAUUGAGAUUUUAGUUUCCAGCUUGUGUUUUAAAAUUUGUUUAAGGGUAUUUGGGUCUUUUUCCUAAGUCCUAAACUCACCCUAAACACGAAAUUUAACCCCUAAUUGACCGAAAUACUCAUCAUUAUUCACUUUCUCUCAAACUAAAAUCCUCACUUUCAAAAACAAGAAACCCUAGCUCUCAAGAAUCAAGGUCAAAUCUAAAGAACUCUCCAUCAAUCCUUCUGAAUUCAUCAUUUCAGGUAUGUUAGAUUCAUCAUUUCAGGUAUGUUAGAUGUUCAUCCAUGGAUUCCUUUCAUCCAUGAAGUCCAAGUAUUCGUUUGAAUUACAAAUCUAUCAUCUUUUCAAGAUUUAUGAUAUUAAAUUGUGAUUUAAAACUAUGAAUCUCCAUGAACUUCCUUGAAUAUUGAUUUUUAUACCAUACUUUAAUGGAAUUAUCGUUGUUAUCAAAUCCCCCAUGUUUUAAUAUUGUCAUUCUUUGAAUAGAUCAUGAUUUAGUGUUAUAAAUGUUAAAGUCAUGCUAUUAUUUUAAGUUUUAUACUAUUCCCAUGAAUUGACUAAACGAUGAAGUGCGAGUGUUUGAUAAAAUGCCUACAAGAGUGAUUUAUUUAAUAAGAGCCUUCAUGUUUUGGCCUUCAAGCUUUAGUGUCUUUUCAGCAUUGUUGUUUUUGAGUCUUGGGGGUAUUGAAUAUCCAAAAACCAUAGUUGUUUAUUUAGUCUAGUCUCAGUACAUUAUAGAAUAGUCUUCAGAUUAUAUUAUCAGCAUUAUCAGAAUAGUCAGAUAUCAGUUAUUCAACUCAAAACAGUCUAGUAACUCAGUGUUUUUCAGUUGGGAGUAGGAUUAGCACCGAGCGAGUGUAGGGAUGGCGACUUCCCCGUCAGAUAGGCAAAGUCUUUAGUAGGAGUCCAUAUACUCUAGAACUACGUAGCCAGCGUAGGAUAUGAGUAGUCACCUAUCAGAUUAGGUUUGACUAUCUCGCAGGGGUCACCCGUCAGUUCAAGCUUGACACCCUUUGUUCUUUAGACAUUAUAUCAGUUUAGUGGAUCUACACAACCAUUAUUAGUACUCGUGACACGGUAUUAACACCCUUCCAGCUGGGGUUAUAUAUUGGACCCCGGUUAGCUCAAAUUAGGGAAUGUCGGUUAGAUGAUACCUCCCACAGUCUCAGAUAUAGUCUCAGUUACAGUCUCAACUCAGUUAUGCAGUCUUAGUGUUGUUUGACCAAAGCAUACAAAUUUCAGUUACCUCAAUAUUUCAGUUUAAAGAUUUUACUCAGUUCAUGUUAUAUGUUUGGUCAUGCAUCCAUAGUAUUUAUAGAUUUUCAUUCAUUUUCAGUAUCUACAAAUUCUAUGCUCUUUAUUCAGUACUCCAUGCUUUAUAUACAUGUCCAGUUAAUUAUUAUUAUUCCUAUUCAUGAGAUCAUGCAUAUCAGUCUACCUCAUAGCAUACCAGUAUAUUUAAAGUACUGAUCGCAUACCUUUUCUUUGCGCUAUAAUUUCUCAUAUCAUAGGUGCUGACGCUCAGUUCCCGGAUCGCACCUAAAUUCUCAGAUUAUCUGCAGUACAGUAGCAUUGGUGAGUCCUUAUCAUUCGAGGACAUAUUAUAUAACUUCAUGUCUUUAUCUCGAUAGUUAGUAGAGUUAGUUGGGGCCUGUCCCAUCAACUCACAUUAUUCAGUUUAAAGGCUUUUCAGACACUACAGUUAGCUAUUUAGACUAUUCAGAUUUCAGUAUUUUAUCAGAUUCAUAAUUUAGUAGUUAUUUCAUUAUUAAAACCUUAUGGCAUUUCAGUUAAUCUUCCAUAUUCAUGAUUAUAUUUUUCAGUGAUCACAGCAGGUACCAGCUCAUGGGUUAGCUUAUGGUCUCUUGGGACCGUAAGCACCUGUAACGACUAGGGGGUAGUCUCAGGACGUUACAGUAGUAUAAGAUUUGUACCUUCCAAAACAUCAUCUGCGGUUUCAAAGAGAGCCGGGUACCUCAUACUCAUGUCAUCCUCUGAUUCCCAAGUAGAUUCCUCAGCUUUUUGAUUCUUCCACCACACCUUAACCGAAAUCAUCUCCUCGCUCCUCAACUUUCAAACUUGACGAUCUAAAAUGGCAAUGAGUUUUUCUUUGUAUGACAAUAAAUCCUUUACAUUGAUUUCUUCCAUAGAAAACACAAGAGAAUGAUUUCCAAUACAUUUCUUCAACAUCAAUAUAUGAAAUACAGGAUGUCCAGAAGCCAGACUCGCAGGCAAAUCUUAUUCAUAAGCAACUCCACCAAUCCUUCUUAUAAUUUGGUAUGGGCCUAUGUUACGAGGGCUAAGCUUACCUUUCUUUCCAGAUCACAUGACUCCCUUCAUAGGGGAGACCUUUAGAAAUAUCCAAUCAUCAACCUCAAAUUCCAACUCCAUUCUUCUAACAUCGGCACAAGACUUUUGGUGGCUCUGAGCUUAUCUUAAGUCACUCCCUAAUGAUUUUUACCUUCUCUAUUGCCUUAUGGACAAGGUCAGGCCCAAACAACCGGGUUUCACCCACUUCAUACUACUCAAUCGGAGACCUACAUCUCCUCUCAUAAAGGGCUUCAAAAGGAGCCAUCUGAAUACUGGAAUGGUAGCUAUUAUUGUAGGCGAAUUCUAUCAAUGGCAAAUGAUCUACCCAACUACCCUUAAAUCCAAUCACGCAAGCCCUCAACAUAUCUUCUAAGGUAUGAAUAGUACAUUCUGCUUGUCCAUCUGUUUGAGGGUGAAACACAGUACUAAGGUAUACUUGUGUACUUAAACCCUUCUGAAAAGAUUGCCAAAAUUGAGAAGAAAAUUGUGUACCUCGGUCGGAUAUAAUAGACACAGGAGCCUCAUGCAACCGAACUAUUUCUUGUAUGUACAGCUUAUCAUAGUCAUCUCCCGAAUAAUUUGUCCACACGGGAAGAAAAUGGCAAGACUUAGUCAUCCUGUCUACAAUCACCCAAAUGGAGUUAUAUUGGUUUUGAGAUCUCGGAAGUCCCAUAAUGAAGUCUAUGUUGAUUAUCUCCCACUUUCACAUAGGCAAAUAUAUCUCUUGGGAAGUGCCAUCUGGUCUUAAAUGUUCUACCUUUGACUUGUUAACAAUUCAAGCACUUAGACACAAAGUUAGCAACAUCUUUUUUCAUAUUAUUCCACCAGUAAAUAGUCUUAAGGUCAUGAUACAUUUUAGUUGAACCGGAGUAAACAACAUACUUGAAAGUGUGAGCUUCAUCAAGAAUUCUUUCUCGCAACCCAUCCACAUUCAGCAUACAUAACCUGCCUUGAUAACUUAAAAUCCCAUCACCACUAAUUUCAAAUGCCAUUACCUUUUAUUGACCAAUAUAUUUCUUAAUAUGCAUCAAGAUGGGGUCCUCGACCUAUUUCUCCUUAACUUUUGCAUAAAAGGAGGAUUUAGCAACCUUUUGAACAAUUACUCCUCCAUCUUCGAAAUCUAGGAGUCGAACUCCCAAAUUUGCAAGCCAGUGAAUAUCCUUCACCAUAUUUCUCUUUCCUUCCUCUACAUAAGAAAGACUGCUCAUUGACAAUCUGCUAAGGGCGUCAGCCACUACAUUGGCCUUACCAGAUGAUAAGAAAAGGUCAUGUCAUAAUCCUUUAACAGUUCCAAUUUUCUAUGAGAAAACAUACUGUAAAAUUUUGUGCAGUAAAAAUAUCAACAUGCACCCCAUAUAGAUAAUGACACCGAAUCUUUAGUGCGAAUACCACUGCAACUAAUUCUAAGUCAUGGGUGGGAUAAUUCUUUUCAUGCACCUUCGGCUGUUUAGAUGCGUAAGCCACCACCUUACUAUGUUACAUAAGAACAUACCCAAGUCCCUCUCGGGAUGCAUCACAAUACACAACAAAACCCUUCAUACCCUCAGGUAGAGUCAAAACUGAUGCGGUAGUCAACUUGUCUUUCAGUUUCUCAAACUUUUCUCACAAAAGUCUAACCAUAAGAAUUUCACCUUUUCCUGAGCCAAUCUAGUAAGUGGAGCAGCUAUGGAGGAAAAGCUCUCUACAAAUCUCCUGCCAAACCCAAGAAGCUCCGGAUGUCGAUUGGAGUCAUGGGUUUGGAACAUUUUCUCACUGCCUCCACCUUUUGGGGGUCAACUCUAAUUCCUUCACCAGAAACAAUGUGCCCCAGGAAAACAAUAGCACUAAGCCAGAAUUCACACUUGGAAAACUUUGCAUACAACUCAUGGUCUUUGAGGGUUUGAAGGACGGUUCGAAGGUGAUUUGCAUGAUCCUCCUCAUUCUUAGAGUAAACCAAUAUGUCAUCAAUAAAGACUAUGAUGAACAGAUCUAGAAACUGACAAAACACCCUAUUCAUUAGAUCUAUAAAAGUCGCGGGGGCAUUAGUCAGUUCGAAGGACAUAACCAAAAAUUCAUAGUGACCAUAUUGGGUUUGGAAAGCUAUUUUGGGAAUAUCAGCCUCCCUAACCUUCAACUGGUGAUACCCCAAAUGAAGAUCUAUCUUAGAGAAACAUUUGGCACCCUGAAGUUGGUCAGAAAGGUCAUCAAUUUUAGGAAGAGGGUAUUUAUUCUUGACUGUGACAUCUAUACAUAUAUGAAGGGAGCCAUUUUUCUUAUGCACGAAGAGUACCGGAGCACCCCAGGGAGAGACAUUAGGAUGAAUAAGGCCUUUGUCAAGCAGGUCUUUUAACUGUUUUUUUAAUUCUGCGGGAGCCAUUCUAUAUGGCAGAAAAGAAAUAGGAUAGGUGUCCGACAAUAAAUCAAUGCCAAAAUCUCUCCCUAUCUGGUGGUAUCCCAAGAAGGUCAUUGGGAAAAACUUCUAGAAAUUCAUUAAGUACCAGAAUAGAUGGGAGUGAAAGACUUUUAGUACUGGAAUCUUGAUACAAACAAGAUGGUACAGACAACCCUUUUGAUAUAAGCUUACGGGCCCUAAUAUAAGAUAUGAAUUCCCCCUAGGUGCUUGAGAAUAUCCCUCCCACUCAAUCGCUGGCUCAUUAGGAAAAGAGAAAGUAACCCUUCUGGUCCUACAGUCUAAUAUAGUAUAACAUGAAUGGAGCCAGUCCAUUCCCAGUAUAGCAUCAAAAUCAAUCAUUUCUAAUUCAACAAGAUCAGCCACAGUAACAUGAUGAAAAAUAGACACCACACAAUUUCUAUAAACUCUCUUAGCCAUAAUAGAAUCACCUACAAGAGUGGAAAUAGAGAAGGGCUUUGGAAUAUUUUUAGGCUCAAAUUUAAAACUAACUGCCACGUAAGGGGUUACAUAAGACAAGGUAGACCCCGAGUCAAGUAACACAUAUACAUCACGGGAGAAAACCAGUAACAUACCUGUAACAACAUCUGGCAAAGUCUCUUCCUCCUUGCGAUUAGACAAGGCAAAUAAUCGAUUAUGACUACCACCGGUAGCUAAAGUAGUACCCUUAGAAAGAGGGGCUAUGGAAUUUGCUUGGGACUUCACACCCCCAACAUCCUCUUGGGCUGAGAGGUAGUCCCUUUGGAGAUGACCACACCGACCGUAUGCAUAAAACACCUUAUCACUGGAAAAAAUAGCUUUUUGGGUGAUUCUUUCUAUAAUUUCCGCAACGAGGGUGUAACCUAAAAGACUGAGUCACACUCUCUUAGGAUUGAGUACCCUAAGACUACUGACAAGAACCGCUGCUCACCCGAAGUCCUGGGCAUAGAUAAGCUUGCUGAAGACUGAGCAUUGCUCCAAAAAAUUUUCUUCAACCACCUCUGGUCCGACCUACCACCCUGCUAUUGACUGGCAUUCUGAUCUACAAAUGUAGCUCUCUUAGCAUGCCUCUCUUUCUCCCUCACCUAAGCCAACCUAUUCUUCUCCUCUUCUACCUGUUGCAUAUGCACUGAUUACAUGGAAAUCCAUGUCCUUGUUCAGCAUUGCUACCUUACAUUCAAACACCAAAUCAUCCGAGAGACCAGAUGUAAACUUCUUCUUGUGAGCCCUCAUGUUGCCCACUCACUCUGGAGCAUAAUGAGAUAGCUAAGUGAACUUCAAUGCAUACUUCUUAACACUCAUCUUACCUUGUUUCAAAUUCACAAAUUCUUCAGCCUUUGCCUCUCUCAAUUCCUGGGGGAAGAAACGGUUCAGGAAAGCUUCUACAAACUCACCCCACACAGAAGGUUCAGGAUCACCACCCUUUAAAUCUUCCCACUCAUUAUACCAAUGGUUAGAUGUCCUUGAACUAAUAGGUUUCCAACACAACCCCUUUAACUUCAUUAGCAUGCAUAACUCUAAAGAUUUUCUCUAUUUUAUCAAUGAACCCCUAGGGGCCUUCCUCAACCUUUGUGCCAAUAAAUGUGGGUGGGUUUAGCCUCAUAAAUUGGCUAACCCAAGUAAGUUCAGACGAACCAGACAUAAAACCCACAUAUUCAGACCGACGGGUCUGAGAGGCCACCAGCUAAGCAAUCAUAUGGAUGGAAUAUCGGAACUCAGCAUUCGAAACUUUUCUCUGGGGAGGCUAGAGAUAAUUAACAUCGGUCUAUGGAGCCUGAGGUGGACUAGUCGGGGCUGGAAGAACUCCUUUAGUAGCAACAAACUCUAGAGUACGAGCUCUACUACGGGUACGCAUCCCAUGAGUAGGGCGUACAUCAUCAUCUUGGGUAUUUUGUUCGUUGGAUCUAUGGGGAGGCAUAAUCAAUCUCUGAAAUAUAGGAAAUCAUUGAUUAGACAUUCAGACUUUAUAGCAUGAACUAGAUCAUGAAGAAAAAGAGGCAUUCCUAAAUGCCUAGUAGUUUCCUUCUUAUAAGUGUGGCGCUCUACACACCCAUAAACAGGACUCUACCCGAUGCGAUUACCCGAUGCGAUUUCACAGAUACUCUGGGACUAUGAACCGUGCUCUAAUACUAAUUUGUCAUGACCCAAACCAAGGCCCUAAACGCGACUAGCAUCCCAAGCUGUGAAGGGUCGAGAGCCCUUUUUAACUAGCAAUCAUGUGCACAAUUCAUAUACUAUAAAGAUGCGGAAAAUAAACGAAAACAUGGUCAUUUUAAUACUUCAACUAAGCAGUACAGACAUAAGUUCAAUAAAACUCAAAACCAUCUAAUACACGUCUAUGAAAUCUCUACUAGAACUGAAACAACAUAUGUCUGAAACCAGGACAAAGCCCCCGAUUGGACCGUGAACUAAAACUAGAUGUAAACAUCUCAUGAAACAAGGCCGUCCAAAAAUAAGGAAGGCUCAACAACUUCAACGUCUGACAACUGCCUACUUCUUAGAGGGACCCUGGGACUGAGCCUCAGCCUCAGAUCCUGAAAUAUAGGGGGUCAAUACAAGUGUACUGGUAUGUGAAACAACCCAAAAUAGCAUGUUAUUAUUCAAUGUAGGUGAGAGCAUUCCACAAUAACAGUAAAUAUAAUAUAGGUAAAAAUACAUGGGCAUAUUUUAGUAAACUUCAAAACAAUCCUGACAACUUUUACUCACUCUUUAUUAUUCUUUCGAGCUAGACACUACACUAUACAAAUUUGUAAUUCCAUGGGCUAUAUGGAAUCCACCCUUAACUCGGCGGCCAAGCCCCUAAUCCAAGUUUUUCGCAAGGAUUAAAGUUUAUAAAUAACUGGUAAUACCCCCAUGUGAGUAUACCGUAGGAAUCCCCCCAUGUGAGAUGUCAUAUAUAUCAUCCCAUGUAGGAUAGCAUAUUAUAAGCCCCGCAUCGGCAAAACACAAUAUUGGGCUAAGAGUUAUCUAACUCAAACCUUCUUCAGGUGACCGACUAGCUCUCUUUAGCCCAACUAUUAGUUCUUUAAAACUAUUCUUCAUGUAUUCGAAACAUACAACACUUAUUUUGUUAAGGGCAUAUUAUCACCGGGUAUCGUCAUACCCCGACUUGCAAGUCACAUAUCAAUCUAUAAUAUAUUUGUAGCCCUUUUUCACUUAUCAUGUUAAUGAACACCCAAAGUUUAAACAUCAAGGGAGAGAAAGAGUCAUGCUAUAUAUAUUCAUCUGAAUUUACACCAAAAUAUUCUCCUCUCAAUAGUACAAUCAUAAGGUGGCCACAUCAUGUUUGCAUUACUUAAAAUUGAUGAAAAUUGUUAAUUUGACAAAAUAAACGUUUACCAUAUGAAAACUCCCUCUCAACAUGUCAUAAAUUAUAUCACUACAUGAUCAUUAGUAAAGAAUUCACCCUCUAGAUUCUUUAAGAAAAAUCCAUGCAUUUAAACAAUCCAUAACACUUGAAAUCAAAGAUAUCUUAAUAAAAGAGGGAGUUUAGUCAUUUAUGCUCUCAAUCAACU